rnacentral:tRNA from 4 species
GGCAGUGUAGCUUAAUGGUAAAGCACGUGUCUGCCAAACACGAAGACAACCGUUUGAUUCGGUUCACUGCCA